rnacentral:rRNA from 1 species
UACAGAGGGUGCGAGCGUUGUCCGGAGUCACUGGGCGUAAAGGGCGCGUAGGUGGUGGCUUAAGCGUGCGGUGAAAGCUCGGGGCUCAACUCCGAGUCGGCCGUGCGAACUGGGCUCACUGGAGCAUAGUAGAGGCAGGUGGAAUUCCGGGUGUAGCGGUGGAAUGCGUAGAGAUCCGGAAGAACACCGGUGGCGAAGGCGGCCUGCUGGGCUAUGGCUGACACUGAGGCGCGACAGCGUGGGGAGCAAACAGG